CUAAAAUAAAAGUUGGAAAAAAUAAAUAAAAAGUUAAAAUCCAGGAUUAUAAUACACAUUUCUCAAAUUCUAACAAGAAAUAGAAACAUGAACAUGUUCUUUUACAUUAGGCUUUUCAAAAAAUAAAAAAUAAACUGGGGUUAAUUGCGGUACUCUGAUACUUAAUCAACUUGUGAAAAUUAAACUGGACCCUUCAUAAAUAUUUGUUAGUGAAAGGAAGGAGAGAAUGCACACAAUGGUCACAUAUCAGCCUCUGGCACAGAGUGGAAGUUCAAUAAAUACAGUCUAAGGAUAUUCAGAUGUCAGAGCCUGCCCCCUUGAGAUCUUGUCAGCUUGGGUAGAACCACCAAGACCUAUGAAAACCUGAAGUCCUCACCUGCUUUCUGCAAAUUCCCAAGAGGUUUCAUCCUCACGAUCUCUGUCUCCUGGCAACCUGUGUCAUCUCAACAAUUGAAUUCCACCCACUUCCACUUAUAACACACACACAACCUAACUUUCAUGAAACACCGGUAAGCUUUGCAGACUUUAUCAAAAACUGGACCAGGAGCAGAAGAAGUCAAGUAGACUCUCUGAGGACAUAAAAAACAAAGGGAUGGCCAACCUCCCUUCUCCCCAGUCCUUCCUUGUGGGUGUUUGUUUAUUAAUGGAGUGGAGUGAAACCCUGAAAGCUGUGCCCUUGCUCUGAAGUUCUGAUUGUAAUGGAAACAGUUGCCAGGGGGGUGAAGUGUCACCGUGGUUAUCUACUGAUCAAGGACAGCAUGCCUGAGAGAGAGAGCAGCCAGAGCCUCUGCCUGUCAAGACAAGCCUCAUUCCGCCUCCACUCGCUCUGCCCUGCCAGUGGCUAAUUGAUUUGUGAAAAUGCUUGGAGGUAGUCUGAGUGAGAAAGACACUUUAUGUCUGCUUACGACAAAUCCUCGGAGGAACAAAAAAUCCAUUUCAUGCACACAUUCCCCUGCUUGAGUCUUUCUUCCAUUCAAUUCCCAAUUAGCUAAAUCUUCAGCACCCAAAGAACUAAGCAGAUGAAAAAAAUCUUCUGAUGGCCAGCUCCUGCCAAACAGAGAGAAUGGCACAUACAGAAAAGAAACCUGCAUCAAUGGUAAUAAAAUAAAAUAAAAAUGAGGAACAGAAAAGCAGGCAGUAAGGAAGGAAAAUGGCCCUCUGGCCUUUAAGCUACAAUUUAAGAGAAUAACUAAAUCCAAAAGUCAAGUUCUAACAGUGACCAGUAACAAGAAUAACUCAUGAAAAGCCUGAAUCCUGUAGUGCAACCUCCUGGCAACCUCAUUUAACACAAGUAAAUUCUAGUACACUGAUUUUCUGUUGACGUCCAGCAAUCAGUCUAGUGUCUCUAUGCAUAGACUCAGAAGUACUGUCGGUCUUCUAUAAACCCAUCCCCUGCAAAAUGGACCAGAGCAUUGGUUUGGGAUUUCCUGCUGCCCAACUGGGGAUGGGACCUGCCUUCUGACUUUCCAGUUUAGCUUCUGCCUACAGUGUAUUUGCUUUUCAAAAAGAGUUUGCCAGGGCUGUUGAAAAAGUUGAAGGAAUGUUGAUAACAGAACUGACUUUUCAUCAAAAGCUGCUUCUUGUAAGUGAACUUGGCUCAAACUCAAAGCUCUUCCCCUGUUGCCAAUUGAUCCUUGGGUACCCUUGGGUAAAAGCCAGUAAAGUUAUUCCUGGGCCUUUUUUAUGUGCAAGUGUUAAAUUUUUUUGAACAGCUGGGAUAAUGAGGCUAACUUCAUUCACUUAUUCACUCAGUCAGUAUUUAUUAAUUACCAGAAAUGUGCCAGACUCGUAAGUAAAACUUAUUCUUUAAUCACUAAUUGUAAUGUUUGUUCUGCAGAAAUAACCACUCCACUGUUUUGGAGCAGUAUACCAUGAGAAAGUAGAUGGAGAGAGAAAAUAAAGGAACCCACUUUUUUCCCUUCUUCACAGCCUCUAAGUUUCAAAGGGCAAGGAUAGUAGAGAGAGUUCCAGAGCAUUGAGCUAUUUUCAAACUGCUAACUACUUUGGAUUACUUUGGCAACUCCUGUUCCAAUGGUUUAAAUCUGGUACAACACAGCACAAUACAUAGCUUUCCAGAACCAUCUACAUUCAGAACUCAUUAAAUACAACCUCACUAAGACAUUUUCUAGGCCCGGGCGCGGUGGCUCACGC
rnacentral:lncRNA from 1 species